rnacentral:rRNA from 1 species
ACACGGGGGGCGCAAGCGUUAUUCGGAAUUAUUGGGCGUAAGGGCGCGUAGGCGGUCUUGUCGGUCAGAUGUGAAAGCCCAGGGCUCAACCUUGGACGUGCAUUUGAAACAGCAAGACUUGAGUACGGGAGAGGAAAGCGGAAUUCCUGGUGUAGAGGUGAAAUUCGUAGAUAUCAGGAGGAACACCGAUGGCGAAGGCAGCUUUCUGGACCGAUACUGACGCUGAGGCGCGAAGGCGUGGGUAGCGAACAGGAUUAGAAACCCCGGUAGUCC